GGAGGAGACUGUGCUAUCUGCUAUGAUUCACUCUGUACUUGCUGGAAACAACCUCUCACAUGACAACAGGAAAAAAACAACAAAAGAUCCCCAGAAGGAUGCUUUGCCAAAACAGGCUUGACAAACUUUAAAAACAUGCUGGAGGAAGAAGAGGUUAUCUGGGCUCUCAGCCCUGAAAAGAUUUGAAAAGUGAAGGGUGCAGACAGGAUCCCACAAGGUCUGGAGGACAGGGGUGGUUCCUGGGACGGUGCAGUGCCACAGCUCGGGAUCCCGGCGCGCAGUGCCAUCUCCUGGAAAAGCCGGGCUGCAGCCGCACACAUCGCAAGGACAACUUUGCUCCAGAGCGAGCAGCCGUGCUCUUGGCGGCUUGGUGCUGCCUCCACGGCCACAAACAUUUUCUUCUCACCACUGAGAGUCCCCUGCCAAACUUCCCUUUCCCCAGCAGGAAGGAAGAUGCUGCUCACCCCCAUGUCCGUGGCACCCUGUGGCAGAACAUCUCUGCAUGGCUCCUUCCCAGUCUGGAUAUUGAAUACAAAUCUCUACGUACAAAAAGAACAGUAGGGGAGA